rnacentral:rRNA from 1 species
AGAGUUUGAUCAUGGCUCAGGACGAACGCUGGCGGCGUGCUUAACACAUGCAAGUCGAGCGGAAAGGCCCUUCGGGGUACUCGAGCGGCGAACGGGUGAGUAACACGUGAGUAACCUGCCCUGGACUUUGGGAUAACCCUCGGAAACGGGGGCUAAUACCGAAUACGACCAUUCACUGCAUGGUGUGAUGGUGGAAAGUUUUUCGGUCUGGGAUGGACUCGCGGCCUAUCAGCUUGUUGGUGGGGUAAUGGCCUACCAAGGCGACGACGGGUAGCCGGCCUGAGAGGGCGACCGGCCACACUGGGACUGAGACACGGCCCAGACUCCUACGGGAGGCAGCAGUGGGGAAUAUUGCACAAUGGGCGGAAGCCUGAUGCAGCGACGCCGCGUGAGGGAUGACGGCCUUCGGGUUGUAAACCUCUUUCAGCAGGGACGAAGCGCAAGUGACGGUACCUGCAGAAGAAGCGCCGGCCAACUACGUGCCAGCAGCCGCGGUAAGACGUAGGGCGCGAGCGUUGUCCGGAUUUAUUGGGCGUAAAGAGCUCGUAGGCGGCUUGUCGCGUCGAAUGUGAAAUCUCAGGGCUCAACUCUGACAUUGCAUUCGAUACGGGCAGGCUAGAGUUCGGUAGGGGAGACUGGAAUUCCUGGUGUAGCGGUGAAAUGCGCAGAUAUCAGGAGGAACACCGGUGGCGAAGGCGGGUCUCUGGGCCGAUACUGACGCUGAGGAGCGAAAGCGUGGGGAGCGAACAGGAUUAGAUACCCUAGUAGUCC